rnacentral:lncRNA from 1 species
GCUUUGCUGCGGGCUGAGCGUUUGUCUUCGGAGAGGCUUUUGGGUUGUCAUCUCGCGCUGCUGGUUGGCCGACUUUCCUUCCGACUCCGCACUACCAGAUAUUACAGCUAGCGGGCCACUCACGGCCCUUCCUCCUGGAGGAUCCAGAGGCCUUCCAGAAGCAGAAGGCAGCUCUACUGCUCUACAGAGGAGUGGGAUCCUUUGAGCCAUGAAGCAUAUGUUGAACCUCUAUCUCCUAGGUGUGGUGCUGACCCUGCUCUCCAUCUUCGUUAGACUGAUGGAGUCCCUGGGGGUCUUACUGGAGAGCCCAUCUCCUGGGAGCUCCUGGACCACCAGAGGUCAACUAGCCAACACAGAUUCCCCAACAGCCUUCCAGACCAUCCAUCCAGAGGGGUGUGAUAAGACCUCCCUCCACCAGCUGUAACCUUGGAACACUGGCCUAAAUACGUCCAGCUGUACCAGUUCUUGGGUAGGCAAGCUCAGCAUCAGUGUUAUCAGAAAACUAACUCUUACUAGGCCCUUGAAGGGCCUCUCCACCUGCAUACUCGUUGCUCUGGAUAAAGCCUAUUUAAUACACAGAUAUGAGUGGGUCGCCUGUGGCUGUGGAAUGGAGUGAUCUCACUCUUCUCCCCAGUCCACCAUAUGCUUUGCUGUCCUUGGCAGCAUGGCUCUGUCUUCUCUUCGAUGGGGACUUGUGCUGCAACUUCAGCUAUUGGGAGAUCGUGUUAUUUUCAACCCUACUUUCUAAGCAUCUGCCAAGAGUUCCUUUGGGCUUGGGUGUCUUAUGGUCAGUUUAUUUGGUGUUCAGUUUCUCUUCCAUGAGCUCCUCUCUGUGCGGAUAACAGUUGAAGAGGUGUGUGGGUUGGCUGUAGGAAGGGGGAAGGGGGAGUAUUCUAUGUCCCGUUCUCAUUGUUUUACAUUUUUAAGUCAUUCCUCCAACAUAGCGUGUAUGUAUGUGUGUAUUGGUCUGAAGAGGGCAGUGGGAUGACAGCGCCUGCUCAGGACGUGGGCAUUUUGGCCACCGUGUGGCUUAAAUAAAUUUUUCUAAUGAAAUAAAGUUGAAUGUAUAUUUC